rnacentral:rRNA from 1 species
GGACUACCCGGGUAUCUAAUCCUGUUCGCUCCCCACGCUUUCGCUCCUCAGCGUCAGGUAAGGCCCAGAGAACCGCCUUCGCCACCGGUGUUCCUCCCGAUAUCUGCGCAUUUCACCGCUACACCGGGAAUUCCAUUCUCCCCUACCUACCUCUAGUCCGCCCGUAUCCACUGCAAGCCCGGGGUUAAGCCCCGGGAUUUCACAACAGACGCGACGGACCGCCUACGAGCUCUUUACGCCCAAUAAUUCCGGACAACGCUUGCGCCCUACGUAUUACCGCGGCUGCUGGCAC